UACGUAGGGUGCAAGCGUUGUCCGGAAUUAUUGGGCGUAAAGAGCUCGUAGGCGGUCUGUCACGUCGGAUGUGAAAACUCGGGGCUCAACCCCGGGCCUGCAGCCGAUACGGGCAGACUAGAGUUCGGCAGGGGAGACUGGAAUUCCUGGUGUAGCGGUGAAAUGCGCAGAUAUCAGGAGGAACACCGGUGGCGAAGGCGGGUCUCUGGGCCGAUACUGACGCUGAGGAGCGAAAGCGUGGGGAGCGAAUGGG
rnacentral:rRNA from 1 species